rnacentral:sRNA from 1 species
UGCAUACAAUACGACCAUACUUAGUGUUUGGUACUUUCUUACUGGUUAAAGAGUUUCCAAUUAAGUAUGAUGUUGUGUUUGCAUAUUGUUUGGUUGUUCCAAACGAAGUAACAAAAGUUACUAUUUUAUUUCCUGUAUAUU